rnacentral:rRNA from 1 species
CAGUAGCCACGGUAAUACAGAGGGUGCAAGCGUUAAUCGGAAUUACUGGGCGUAAAGCGUGCGCAGGCGGUUAUAUAAGACAGAUGUGAAAUCCCCGGGCUCAACCUGGGAACUGCAUUUGUGACUGUAUAGCUAGAGUACGGCAGAGGGGGAUGGAAUUCCGCGUGUAGCAGUGAAAUGCGUAGAUAUGCGGAGGAACACCGAUGGCGAAGGCAAUCCCCUGGGCCUGUACUGACGCUCAUGCACGAAAGCGUGGGGAGCAAACAGGAUUAGAUACCCGAGUAGUCCCUGUCUCUUAUAA